rnacentral:lncRNA from 1 species
UUCCAGUGAAACAAUGGGGCACAGGCCUGUCUCCCGUUUGCAUGAGGAGGAUUCCUGGGCUUCUUGGAAAGGUCUUUCAGGAACGUCUCUUUGUAUUCGGUCACCCAGUCGCCAAAGCAGCUCCAGCAAGGACGAAGCAGCAGGUCAUGCAGAAACCAGGUUAGGAGAGAGCCAGAGCAAGGCCCAACCCAAUACACCUGCACAGGGCCAGAAAUGUAUCGCUUCUGCCUUCCUUACCGCCAUGAGAUGACCGAGGGUGUCCGACAGGCCGGUGACAGCAGGAGGAUUGGAGGAAAAUGCGGAUUUGGGAUGAGUGGCAGCCUGGACACACAGCACUAGCUGGAAUGUAACAGCCGUUUACACUAACAGAGCCUGAUACAGAUACACCCCCGGGGCCACCUGAAGCAGGGCAAGAGCAGUUUUAUUUGUUAUUGUUGGACACGAUCAUUCUCUUAGAUUGUCUCCAUCUCCUUUCCUCAUUCACUCCAAUAUCAGUCUCGAUCGUGAAAGUAAUGGACAUGUCAGUCCUAAUUUUAGG